UAGGUUGAGUGACAACUAUACUACUAUAUAAGAAGCAAAUCCUUUGGAUAGAGUAUGGGUUAGAGAGCCAUCUUCCCACUAUGAAACUUAGCCUUCUCUGAUAUAUGGAUGCAAACAUACUUGUCAUGUGGAGCCUCCCCAAGCCUCAACAGACUGAUCAACUAGUGCAACCCCGUGACAAUUUCUAACUCUCAUAGGAGCAUUCAGCUCAGAAGCGGGUUACAAGUUUGAAAUAUGUUGAAGAGUGACAUGAGAUAUUAGGAAGGGCAGUGCAAGGAAGCAUUCUUAGUUCAACGGCUAAAAUCUCUCAAUAAUAUAUGGAACAAAACCCCACAUCUAAGAUAGGAUAGAUGAAGCUAUGAGGUAGCAUCACCGCAGGCUAGCGAGCAUCACAGCUCAACUUGACAGUAUCUCCUCCAAGAGUAGGCAUCUUAUGAGAGGGAUUAAGAUCGCUUGUCACUACUAUGUCAUAGCUUUGAGGCUCUUAUUAUUUUUUUACUUUUUCUUGUUGGAAAACAAAACUAUAAAUCUGAUAUUCGUAUCUUUUUUUU